rnacentral:rRNA from 1 species
CAAUAGCGUAUAUUAAAGUUGUUGCGGUUAAAAAGCUCGUAGUUGGAUUUCUGCCGAGGACGACCGGUCCGCCUUUCGGGUGAGCAUCUGGUUCGGCUUGGGUAUAUUCUUGGAGAACGUUCUUGCACUUGACUGUGCGGUGCGGUAGCCAGGAGCUUUACUUUGAGGAAAUUAGAGUGUUCUAAGCAGGCAGAUGCCUUGAAUACAUUAGCAUGGAAUAAUGAUAUAGGACCUCGGUUCUAUUUUGUUGGUUUCUAGAGCUGAGGUAAUGAUUAAUAGGGAUGGUUGGGGGCAUUCGUAUUUAAUUGUCAGAGGUGAAAUUCUUGGAUUCGUUAAAGACGGACGACUGCGAUAGCAUUUGCCAAGGAUGUUUUCAUUGA